rnacentral:rRNA from 1 species
CGAACGGGUGAGGUAACACGUGGGCAACCUGCCCAAAAGAGGGGGAUAACACUUGGAAACAGGUGCUAAUACCGCAUAACCAUAGUUACCGCAUGGUAACUAUGUAAAAGGUGGCUAUGCUACCGCUUUUGGAUGGGCCCGCGGCGCAUUAGCUAGUUGGUGGGGUAAAGGCUUACCAAGGCAAUGAUGCGUAGCCGAACUGAGAGGUUGAUCGGCCACAUUGGGACUGAGACACGGCCCAAACUCCUACGGGAGGCAGCAGUAGGGAAUCUUCCACAAUGGGCGAAAGCCUGAUGGAGCAACGCCGCGUGGGUGAAGAAGGUCUUCGGAUCGUAAAACCCUGUUGUUAGAGAAGAAAGUGCGUGAGAGUAACUGUUCACGUUUCGACGGUAUCUAACCAGAAAGCCACGGCUAACUACGUGCCAGCAGCCGCGGUAAUACGUAGGUGGCAAGCGUUAUCCGGAUUUAUUGGGCGUAAAGGGAACGCAGGCGGUCUUUUAAGUCUGAUGUGAAAGCCUUCGGCUUAACCGGAGUAGUGCAUUGGAAACUGGGAGACUUGAGUGCAGAAGAGGAGAGUGGAACUCCAUGUGUAGCGGUGAAAUGCGUAGAUAUAUGGAAGAACACCAGUGGCGAAAGCGGCUCUCUGGUCUGUAACUGACGCUGAGGUUCGAAAGCGUGGGUAGCAAACAGGAUUAGAUACCCUGGUAGUCCACGCCGUANACGAUGAAUGCUAAGUGUUGGAGGGUUU